rnacentral:lncRNA from 1 species
UUCUUCUUCUUUCUUCAUAUCUCCAUCCCUCCUUCCUUUCUUUCUUCCUUCCUUCCUUUCUUUCCUUCCUUUCUUUCCUUCCUUCCUUCCUUUCUUUUUCUUCCUUCCUUUCUUCUUUUCUUUCUUUCUCUUUUCUUCCUUUCUUUCUUUUCUUCCUUCCUUUCUUUCUUUUCUUCCUUCCUUCUUUUCUUUCUUUUCUUCCUUCCUUCUUUUCUCUUUCUUUCUUUCUUUCUUUCUUUCUUUCUUUCUUUCUUUCUUUCUUUCUUUCUUUCUUUCUUUCUUUCUUUCUUUCUUUCUUUCUUUCUUUCUUUCUUUCUUUCUUUCUCCCUUACCUUCUACCUUAGAAUUGAUACCAAGUAUUGGUUCCAAAGCAGAAGAGCAGUAAGGUUAGGUAUUUGUGGUUAAGCAACUUACCUAGGGUCACAUAGCUUAGGAAGUGUCCAAAGUCAGAUGUGAACCCUGGACUUCCUGUCCCUAGGCCUGGUUCUCUAUCUACUCAGCCACCUAGCUACCCCUCCAAUUUCUUUCUUUCUAGGUACAUCCCCAAUGAAUAUAUUUUUGUCCUAAAUGAAGUAGAAUAGAAUACCUUAGUUGACUAUAUAUCGGGGAAACUAAGGAAUAGUUUAUUUAUCCUUCAAAGCCCAUGGGAUCCCCACCAACUGUCUUCUUCCUUUUUAUUAAUACUAAAAAUAGAAAGUUCUGACAUUGAUUACUGAGGACAGGAUAAAAUCACAAUUUUUUAAAAGUAUCAAUAUACUUUAUAAGGUUUGUUUUUGUUUUGUUUUGUUUUUUGCCAAUCAACAAAAUGGUUGGUUUGGGAAGACAGGGUAUUCAGGAAAGACUAGUACCUCUGGUAUCAGGGCUUAUCAAGCCCUUUUCAGGGAUGCUUUCCUCCUUUAGUGUCCAUCUGCCACCCAACUCUCAUCUGUGGCUGCAAGAAGCUGUAACAUGCACAGUGGCCUCCUUGGUAUACCAUCUUGGCAAAUGGGCUAACUCAGGUUGAAGGCAACUGGUGGAUGAGCAAGCACAAUUUGUUCCUAUGGCCAUGAAGGCAGUGGAAGAAGGGACUAUGGAACACUUAGAGUUUGAUUACGUAUCAAAGAAGACAAGAUAUUCACUGCAUCCUGAGUCAUCACCAGUCAUCUUGACUUUUGUCUUGCUACUGGCCUUGGAUGACUCUAGAAGAAAGUGAGAAUGAGAAUUUUGUGUAACUGCCUCACUUAAAUCCGGUUUAUGCCAAUUACCCAGGGAUGCCAUUUUGGUUCUCUUCAAGUAUGAAGGAAAACAACUGAUCAACUAACCAGUCUAAUCGUUACUUGAAGAAUACCUUUGGCAACAUUCCUAACUAGUGGCCAUCUAUUAUUUCUUUGAAGAGCUCUAAUGAGGGUUCCUAAUACCUCUUGAA